rnacentral:lncRNA from 1 species
AUUUGGACGUACACACUCUGAGUUUUGUUUUUAUCUCAUUACCUUAUGACUCUGACUACUACAUCUCUAAAAUAGGCUACAGGAUAAUCAGGGAAGACCACUCCAGCUGGAGGGAGUUACUGGUGCAAAUGUCAGAGUGCCCAAGCAUGCCAAGAAGAAGAAAAGUCAUUACUGUAUGAGCAUUAACAUAGGUGGUUCUAAAUCACAUCACAGCUGUCAUUCUUGUUGUGUCAGUCAAGGAAUCUGAUGAAACAUAGAACAAUUUCAGACAGGCCAAGGCCUCCUAUGAGAAAUCCCACUCGUGUGCACUGUGAUCAGGCAUUGCCUUGCUGUGAUAAUAACUCCCCUGGGCCGAGAGCUACAAUGUAUGUCUUGCUUCUAUUCCAAAUUGCUUUCUUGUUGUUGUUUUGUUUUGGUUUCAUUAUUUGCCUUUUAUUUUUAGUUGGCACAUAAUAAUGGCACACAUUUAUGGGGUACGGAGUGAUAUUUCAAUACACGUGUAUAAUGUGUAAUGAACAAAUCAGGGUAACUAGGAUACCCAUCACCUCAAACAUUCACGAUUUCUUUCAAAAUCCUCUCUUCUAGAUUUUUGAACAUAUACAAUAAAUUGUUUGCUAUAUUCACUCUACAGUACUAUACAACCCUAAAACUUAUUCCUCCUAUCCAGCUGUAAUUUUGUAUUCAUUAACCAAUCUCUCCGUAACCACCCCACCCCACUUCCUAGCCUCUAAAAACCAUACAAAUUGCUUUCUAAAAGAGCUUGUGUUUUUUUUUACAACGAAGCAUUAUUUUUCCCCAAAAAUAAUUUUUUGGUCGGUUUUUGUUUAUUACAAAAGCAAUACAUUUUCAUUCCAGAAAAAGAAAACGAAGAUAAAGAAACAGAGGGAAACAGAAACCAUCCAUAAUCCUACUCCUUCAAAGACAGCUACAGUCAAAUUCUCAUGUAACUCCUUCUCUUUUGGCAAGAAUAUUAUACCCUACAAAGGUCUCUGGUGUGGAUUUAAAAUACUACAAGUCACCCAAUAUUACGAAUAAAAGAAACAAAAAGAAUAGAAAUUCCACCAUAGAGUAUACUUGAUAUCUACUUCUGAUGAUUAUUUUCUUAUAAAAAGAACACAUCCACAUAAUUUUACAUCCUUCUAUACAAUCAAAAUUUACUUUAAUCU